GACGAACGCUGGCGGCGUGCCUAAUACAUGCAAGUAGAACGCUGAAGAGAGGAGCUUGCUCUUCUUGGAUGAGUUGCGAACGGGUGAGUAACGCGUAGGUAACCUGCCUUGUAGCGGGGGAUAACUAUUGGAAACGAUAGCUAAUACCGCAUAACAAUGGAUGACACAUGUCAUUUAUUUGAAAGGGGCAAUUGCUCCACUACAAGAUGGACCUGCGUUGUAUUAGCUAGUAGGUGAGGUAAUGGCUCACCUAGGCGACGAUACAUAGCCGACCUGAGAGGGUGAUCGGCCACACUGGGACUGAGACACGGCCCAGACGCCUACGAGAGGCAGCAGUAGGGAAUCUUCGGCAAUGGGGGCAACCCUGACCGAGCAACGCCGCGUGAGUGAAGAAGGAUUUCGGAUCGUAAAGCUCUGUUGUAAGUCAAGAACGGGUGUGAGAGUGGAAAGUUCACACUGUGACGGUAGCUUACCAGAAAGGGACGGCUAACUACGUG
rnacentral:rRNA from 1 species